CGCGGCUGGGAGGGCGGGCGGGCGGCGGCGGCACGGAAGGGCCCAGCCCCGCAAACCCGAGGAUUCAGAGGCGCCCGACACACCCCGGCAGCCAGGGAGCUUGCAGGCCAGACUCCCCGACACCCCCUCCCGCCCGGGACCCCACUAGCCGCUCCCGGCUUUGCCCACCCCGUGGCAGAUGGCCCCGCAGUCCCUGCCCUUUCGCCCUUCCUACCCUAGCCUGGGCACUGCCUGGGAGGAAGGCAGCCGUGUCCUGCUCCUUCCCUCGGAGGCUGGAGGGAGAGGCCAAGCCCCUGGAAAACGUAGCAGAAGUCGUGUCCGUGUGAGUGCGCGAGUGCAGGCCCAGGCGGCAGGAAUCUCGUGCGCCCCACUGCCCAUUGCGCUGGCACUCUGGGACGGCAGGGCUCCAGGGCAGGGGUCCCAGCUGCCCCUGCAUAUCUAGGGCAAGGGACCAGGUGUGGAGCCGAUGUGGGCAGCGGCCUCUCCCCAGGACCCUCUCCCAGCCCUUGCUGCCCCAGCCCAGACACAGAAACUGGAUCUCACACCGACGGCCAGGUGACUGCCGGUCAUUUCUCCUGGGUUUCUGUGGGGUCAACAUGUCAACCUGCAGGAGUUGGGUUGACCCCUCCAUCCCCACUUCUCCCCAGUUUCUGGUCCUGGAGGGGCAGGAGGCGUCUAGGGAUGGGAAGUGGGGGCUGGCCUUGUGAGUGGGAACCACUGCAGCACGCAGAGGACAGACGCGUGGGUGCAGCCUUGUGCAACCCGGUGACUGCACCUCCAGACGCCUCCCAGCCUCACCAAGGUCCCCUGCCAGGCAGCUGUCACCACACCCCUCAGGGAACCCACAGAGAGGCACCUGCAGGGAGGGUCAGGCCCCGCGGCAGCAAAGCUGGCUCAGAGGAAGCAGCCUCAUCACCCCCGCCCUCUGUGGAGCCCUAGGACCCCGGCAAUAACCUCAGUGUGGGUGAGGCCACACCCUCUGCCUGUCGGUGCCCCAGCUGCUGGCCUGGGCUGCCUCUCCUGGGGUCCCCCCUGAGGCUCUGGGGCUUUCAAGGGGGCUCCUGAUGGGCCAGGCUGCCUACAGAGGGCACAGACCACCCUCCGGCCUGGAGCUGCAACUUCCCGCAUUCCCACCGACAAAGGGCUAUAGGUCCCCCCGCCCUGCCCGGGUCCAGUUUACACACAGCAUACGGUGGCCCCAGGGCCUGGCCUCACUCUCCUCGGUGUGCCCGCUCCUCAAGACCUCCCCAGUGGGCACGGGGCCCACACGCCAGGUAAGUAGCAAACCCUCCUCUGCCAAGAGCGGACUCUCAGAAAGGCCCUGUCACUGCCCCGCCCACUUGGGGCCUUCGGCCUCUCCCAGCCGCGACUUCUCCUUUUUGCCUUAGGCCUCUCGACAUCCUGAUCUCUUGCAAUAACAAGGAAGCGAGACUCCACAGUAGACGUCCCUCUCCGCGUGCCCUCUCUCUCUCUCUCUCUCUCUCUCUCUGCUGAGAUGUUUUGGGAGUUCUGUCCCUCGUCUUCAUAGUGUAGGGUGUUACAGCUGGGAAGGGACAGUAGGAUGUAGCCCAGCCCCCUCCCCAGAGUUGGACACCAGCCUGACCCCCCCUGCAGGACUGGACCGGGUCAGGGCUCUGCUGCUGCUCUGCCCUGCUGCUGCCACUGUUCUGUUGGCGGGGCUGGGGUCCUUUACCCCUUAGGAGAGGUGUCGGUCACGAUGUUUACCUCAGUUUAUGUCACUGUCAGAGAAAAACAAUAGCAAAAAAUUAACACCGUAGACGUGGAGAUUUAGAGACAAAAGAAAAAAACCCACAAAAAAAAUCUCUUCCCUCUUGCGACUCCUUUGUGAAGGUACAGUGUGUACGCACACAUGUGUGUGUCUCUGUCCCACCCUGGGGCAGGCCAGGUCAUCCCUGACCUCUGUCCCCGUCCCUAGGUCCCCCACACUGUCCCGUGUCCUUCGGUGCUUCCCAGAGGCCCCACUGGGCUGGCCUGUGGGGUGUGGGGAGCCCCCUGGGUGGGAGUGGGGCCACAGGUCAGCCAAAGGGUUUCCCACAGGCCCACUCUGCAGAGCCAAGGCUGCCUGAUGCUUCCUGAGCCCAGGACCAUCGUGGUAGCCCGCAUCAGCAGUUGGGCCUGGCUCAGGGCCUGGGGUAGGGUCCUGAGUACAGUCCCAGACCCCAGACUUUCAUGUCUCGCCCCCCACCCACACCCCAUGUGUUUGUAAAUACUCUGGCACCCUUUGGCCCUGAGGUGGUUUUUAAAUGUGUUAUUUACUUCUCUAAUCAUGACAAUUGCUAUAAAAUAAACAAAAACUUAGAAAAAUUA